UACGUAGGGUGCAAGCGUUAAUCGGAAUUACUGGGCGUAAAGCGUGCGCAGGCGGUUUUGUAAGUCUGAUGUGAACUCCCCGGGCUCAACCUGGGAAUUGCAUUGGAGACUGCAAGGCUAGAAUCUGGCAGAGGGGGGUAGAAUUCCACGUGUAGCAGUGAAAUGCGUAGAGAUGUGGAGGAACACCGAUGGCGAAGGCAGCCCCCUGGGUCAAGAUUGACGCUCAUGCACGAAAGCGUGGGGAGCAAACAGG
rnacentral:rRNA from 1 species